rnacentral:rRNA from 1 species
GGACGGGACCCGCACAAGCGGUGGAUUAUGUGGAUUAAUUCGAUGCAACGCGAAAACCUUUACCUACCCUUGACAUGUCCUGAAGCCUGGAGAGAUCCGGGUGUGCCGAAAGGGAACGGGAACACAGGUGCUGCAUGGCUGUCGUCAGCUCGUGUCGUGAGAUGUUGGGUUAAGUCCCGCAACGAGCGCAACCCUUGUCAUUAGUUGCUACAUUUGGUUGGGCACUCUAAUGAGACUGCCGGUGACAAACCGGAGGAAGGUGGGGAUGACGUCAAGUCCUCAUGGCCCUUAUGGGUAGGGCUUCACACGUAAUACAAUGGCGCGUACAGAGGGUUGCCAAGCCGCGAGGUGGAGCCAAUCCCAGAAAGCGCGUCGUAGUCCGGAUUGCAGUCUGACAACUCGACUGCAUGAAGUCGGAAUCGCUAGUAAUCGCGGAUCAGCAUGUCGCGGUGAAUACGUUCCCGGGUCUU